rnacentral:tRNA from 1 species
UGGGUUAUAUCUUAUAUAAAGUAUUUCAUUUACAUUGAAAAGAUAUUAAAUUAAUUAAUUAAUUCAA